AACAAGGUUUCCGUAGGUGAACCUGCGGAAGGAUCAUUACCUAGAGUUUGUAGACUUCGGUCUGCUACCUCUUACCCAUGUCUUUUGAGUACCUUCGUUUCCUCGGCGGGUCCGCCCGCCGAUUGGACAACAUUCAAACCCUUUGCAGUUGCAAUCAGCGUCUGAAAAAACAUAAUAGUUACAACUUUCAACAACGGAUCUCUUGGUUCUGGCAUCGAUGAAGAACGCAGCGAAAUGCGAUAAGUAGUGUGAAUUGCAGAAUUCAGUGAAUCAUCGAAUCUUUGAACGCACAUUGCGCCCCUUGGUAUUCCAUGGGGCAUGCCUGUUCGAGCGUCAUUUGUACCUUCAAGCUCUGCUUGGUGUUGGGUGUUUGUCUCGCCUCUGCGUGUAGACUCGCCUUAAAACAAUUGGCAGCCGGCGUAUUGAUUUCGGAGCGCAGUACAUCUCGCGCUUUGCACUCACAACGACGACGUCCAAAAGUACAUUUUUACACUCUUGACCUCGGAUCAGGUAGGGAUACCCGCUGAACUUAAGCAUA
rnacentral:rRNA from 1 species